rnacentral:rRNA from 1 species
UUCAAGAUUCUAAGAGCAAACGGUGGAUGCCUUGGCAUCUGGAGCCGAAGAAGGACGUAUAAAUCUGCGAUAAGCCUCGGGGAGCUGAUAAUAGAGCUUUGAUCCGAGGAUCUCCGAAUGGGGAAACCCCGCCAGGCCCUUUGGGUGACCUGGUGACUCCCGCCUGAAUAUAUAGGGCGGGUAGAGGGAACGUGGGGAAGUGAAACAUCUCAGUACCCACAGGAAGAGAAAGCAAAAGCGAUUCCGUUAGUAGUGGCGAGCGAAACCGGAAGAGGCCAAACCGAUCAUGUGUGAUAUCCGGUAGGAGUUGCAUGGUCGGGGUUGCGGGACUUUCCGUACAGUUCUACCGAGCUGUGAGGGCAAUGAGCGCGAUAUAGACGAAUGGUCUUGAAAGGCCAGUCAUAGAGGGUGCGAACCCCGUAGUCGAAAUGUCGUCGCCUGUCCGGAGAGUAUCCCAAGUAGCACGGGGCCCGAGAAAUCCCGUGUGAAUCUGUCAGGACCACCUGAUAAGCCUAAAUACUCCCAGAUGACCGAUAGCGGACAAGUACCGUGAGGGAAAGGUGAAAAGUACCCCGGGAGGGGAGUGAAAUAGUACCUGAAACCGUUUGCUUACAAACCGUUGGAGCACCCUUGUUGGUGUGACAGCGUGCCUUUUGAAGAAUGAGCCUGCGAGUUAGUGAUAUGUGGCGAGGUUAACCCGUGAGGGGCAGCCGUAGCGAAAGCGAGUCUUAAUAGGGCGUAUGAGUCGCAUGUUCUAGACCCGAAGCGAAGUGAUCUAUCCAUGGCCAGGUUGAAGCGACGGUAAGACGUCGUGGAGGACCGAACCCACUUCAGUUGAAAAUGGAGGGGAUGAGCUGUGGAUAGGGGUGAAAGGCCAAUCAAACUUCGUGAUAGCUGGUUCUCUCCGAAAUGCAUUUAGGUGCAGCGUUGCGUGUUUCUUGCCGGAGGUAGAGCUACUGGAUGGACGAUGGGCCCCAAAAGGUUACUGACUUCAGCCAAACUCCGAAUGCCGGUAAGUGAGAGCGCAGCAGUGAGACGGUGGGGGAUAAGCUUCAUCGUCGAGAGGGAAGCAACCCAGACCACCAUCUAAGGUCCCUAAGCGCGUGCUAAGUGGGAAAGGAUGUGGAGUUGCAUAGACAACCAGGAGGUUGGCUUAGAAGCAGCCACCCUUGAAAGAGUGCGUAAUAGCUCACUGGUCAAGUGAUUCCGCGCCGACAAUGUAACGGGGCUCAAGCACGCCACCGAAGUUGUGGCAUUUAUAUUAUAGGCAGGCCUUCGUGGUCCAGCCGUAUGGAUGGGUAGGAGAGCGUCGUGUGGCCAGCGAAGCGGCGGUGUGAACCAGCCGUGGAGGCCACACGAGUGAGAAUGCAGGCAUGAGUAGCGAAAGACGGGUGAGAAACCCGUCCUCCGAAAGACCAAGGGUUCCAGGGCCAGGCUAAUCCGCCCUGGGUAAGUCGGGACCUAAGGCGAGGCCGACAGGCGUAGUCGAUGGACAACGGGUUGAUAUUCCCGUACCGAUGAAGAACCGCCCAAGACAAUCCAGUAAUGCUAAGUGUCUGAAUCCUUGAUUCGAUCCCUUCGGGGUGACGGUCUUGGCCUAGCACACGACCCUACGCUGGGGCGUUUAGCGUAUUAACAGGUGUGACGCAGGAAGGUAGCUGAGCCGGGCGAUGGUUGUCCCGGUCUAAGGAUGUAGGGCAGAAGAUAGGCAAAUCCGUCUUCUAUGUAGCCUGAGACCCGAUGGGUAGUCCUCACGGACGAAAUCAGUGAUCCUAUGCUGCCGAGAAAAGCAUCGACGCGAGGUUCCAAUCGCCCGUACCCCAAACCGACUCAGGUGGUCAGGUAGAGAAUACUAAGGAGAUCGAGAGAAUCGUGGUUAAGGAACUCGGCAAAAUGCCCCCGUAACUUCGGGAGAAGGGGGGCCUGAGGCGUGUAGGGAUUUACUCCUGAAGCGUUUGAAGGCCGCAGAGACCAGUGGGAAGCGACUGUUUACUAAAAACACAGGUCCGUGCUAAGUCGCAAGACGAUGUAUACGGACUGACGCCUGCCCGGUGCUGGAAGGUUAAGAGGAACGGUUAGCACGCAAGUGCGAAGCUGAGAAUUUAAGCCCCAGUAAACGGCGGUGGUAACUAUAACCAUCCUAAGGUAGCGAAAUUCCUUGUCGGGUAAGUUCCGACCUGCACGAAUGGCGUAACGACUUCCCAGCUGUCUCAACCGCGAACUCGGCGAAAUUGCACUACGAGUAAAGAUGCUCGUUACGCGCAGCAGGACGGAAAGACCCCGUGACCUUUACUACAGCUUGGUAUUGGUGUUCGGUGUGGCUUGUGUAGGAUAGGUGGGAGACUGUGAAGCUCGGACGCUAGUUCGGGUGGAGUCAUUGUUGAAAUACCACUCUGGUCACUCUGGAUAUCUAACUUCGAACCGUAAUCCGGUUCAGGGACAGUGCCUGGUGGGUAGUUUAACUGGGGCGGUUGCCUCCUAAAGAGUAACGGAGGCGCCCAAAGGUUCCCUCAACCUGGUUGGUAAUCAGGUGUCGAGUGUAAGUGCACAAGGGAGCUUGACUGUGAGACUGACAAGUCGAGCAGGGACGAAAGUCGGGACUAGUGAUCCGGCAGUGGCUUGUGGAAGCGCUGUCGCUCAACGGAUAAAAGGUACCUCGGGGAUAACAGGCUGAUCUUGCCCAAGAGUCCAUAUCGACGGCAUGGUUUGGCACCUCGAUGUCGGCUCGUCGCAUCCUGGGGCUGGAGUAGGUCCCAAGGGUUGGGCUGUUCGCCCAUUAAAGCGGUACGCGAGCUGGGUUUAGAACGUCGUGAGACAGUUCGGUCCCUAUCCGCUGCGCGCGUAGGAAAUUUGAGAAGAUCUAUCCCUAGUACGAGAGGACCGGGAUGGACGAACCUCUGGUGUGUCAGUUGUUCCGCCAGGAGCACCGCUGAUUAGCUACGUUCGGAACGGAUAACCGCUGAAAGCAUCUAAGCGGGAAGCCGGCUUCGAGAUGAGAUUUCCAUCCCUUUUGGGGUGAAGGCUCCCGGCUAGACUACCGGGUUGAUAGGCAGGAUGUGGAAGCGGGGACUAAAGACUCGUGGAGCUGACCUGUACUAAUAAGCCGAUAUCUUGAAAACAC